GAUGAACGCUGGCGGCGUGCCUAAUACAUGCAAGUCGAGCGAACCACUUCGGUGGUGAGCGGCGAACGGGUGAGUAACACGUAGGUGAUCUGCCCAUCAGACGGGGACAACGAUUGGAAACGAUCGCUAAUACCGGAUAGGACGAAAGUUUAAAGGUGCUUCUGGCACCGCUGAUGGAUGAGCAUGCGGCCCAUUAGCUAGUUGGAAGGGUAAAGGCCUACCAAGGCGACGAUGCGUAGCCGACCUGAGAGGGUGAACGGCCACACUGGGACUGAGACACGGCCCAGACUACUACGGGGGGCAUCAGUAGGGAAUCUUCGGCAAUGGGCGAAGGCCUGACCGAGCAACGCCGCGUGAAUGAUGAAGGCCUUCGGGUUGUAAAAUUCUGUUAUAAGGGAAGAACGACUUUAGUAGGAAAUGGCUAGAGUGUGACGGUACCUUAUGAGAAAGCCACGGCUAACUACGUGCCAGCCGCCGCUGUAA
rnacentral:rRNA from 1 species